GAUGAACGCUGGCGGCGUGCCUAAUACAUGCAAGUCGAGCGAACAGAUGAGGAGCUUGCUCCUCUGACGUUAGCGGCGGACGGGUGAGUAACACGUGGAUAACCUACCUAUAAGACUGGGAUAACUUCGGGAAACCGGAGCUAAUACCGGAUAAUAUAUUGAACCGCAUGGUUCAAUAGUGAAAGACGGUUUUGCUGUCACUUAUAGAUGGAUCCGCGCCGCACUAGCUAGUUGGUAAGGUAACGGCUUACCAAGGCAACGAUGCGUAGCCGACCUGAGAGGGUGAUCGGCCACACUGGAACUGAGACACGGUCCAGACUCCUACGGGAGGCAGCAGUAGGGAAUCUUCCGCAAUGGGCGAAAGCCUGACGGAGCAACGCCGCGUGAGUGAUGAAGGUCUUCGGAUCGUAAAACUCUGUUAUUAGGGAAGAACAAAUGUGUAAGUAACUAUGCACGUCUUGACGGUACCUAAUCAGAAAGCCACGGCUAACUACGUG
rnacentral:rRNA from 1 species